rnacentral:rRNA from 1 species
AGAGUUUGAUCCUGGCUCAGAACGAACGCUGGCGGCAGGCUUAACACAUGCAAGUCGAGCGCAUCCUUCGGGGUGAGCGGCAGACGGGUGAGUAACGCGUGGGGAUGUACCCAGAGGUGUGGAAUAACUGUGGGAAACUACAGCUAAUACCGCAUACGCCCUUCGGGGGAAAGAUUUAUUGCCUUUGGAUCAACCCGCGUCAGAUUAGCUAGUUGGUAGGGUAACGGCCUACCAAGGCGACGAUCUGUAGCUGGUCUGAGAGGAUGACCAGCCACACUGGGACUGAGACACGGCCCAGACUCCUACGGGAGGCAGCAGUGGGGAAUAUUGGACAAUGGGCGCAAGCCUGAUCCAGCCAUGCCGCGUGAGUGAUGACGGCCUUAGGGUUGUAAAGCUCUUUUAACAGGGACGAUAAUGACGGUACCUGUAGAAUAA